UACGUGCCAGCAGCCGCGGUAAUACGUAGGGUGCGAGCGUUGUCCGGAAUUAUUGGGCGUARAGAGCUCGUAGKCGGCCUGUCGYGUCGGAUGUGAAAGCCCGGGGCUUARCCCCGGGUCUGCAUUCGAUACGGGCAGGCUAGAGUUCGGUAGRGGAGAUCGGAAUUCCUGGUGUARCGGUGAAAUGCGCAGAUAUCWGGAGGAACACCGGUGGCGAAGGCGGAUCUCUGGGCCGAUACUGACGCUGAGGAGCGAAAGCGUGUGGAGCGAACAGGAUUAGAUACCCUGGUAGUCCACGCCGUAAACGUUGGGAACUAGGUGUGGGCGACAUUCCACGUCGUCCGUGCCGCAGCUAACGCAUUAAGUUCCCCGCCUGGGGAGUACGGCCGCAAGGCUAAAACUCAAAGGAAUUGACGGGGGCCCGCACAAGCGGCGGAGCAUGUGGCUUAAUUCGACGCAACGCGAAGAACCUUACCAAGGCUUGACAUACACCGRAAACUGGCAGAGAUGUCAGCCCCCUUGUGGUCGGUGUACAGGUGGUGCAUGGUUGUCGUCAGCUCGUGUCGUGAGAUGUUGGGUUA
rnacentral:rRNA from 1 species